rnacentral:rRNA from 1 species
CCUACGGGAGGCAGCAGUGGGGAAUAUUGCACAAUGGGCGAAACCCUGAUGCAGCGACGCCGCGUGAGUGAUGAAGUACUUCGUUAUGUAAACCUCUAUCAGCAGGGAAGAAAAUGAACGUUGCUGAGUAACAAGCCCCGGCUAAAUACGUGCCAGCAGCCGCGGGAAUACGGAGGGGGCAAGCGUGAUUCGGAUUUACUGGGUGUAAAGGUAGCGUAGACGGCAGUGCAAGUCACGGGUGAAAGGCGGGGGCUCAACCCGCGGACUGCUCUUGAAACUGUACGUCGGGAGUGCCGGAGAGGAAAGUGGAAUUCCUGGUGUAGGAGUGAAAUGCGUAGAUAGUAGGAGGAACACCAGUGGCGAAGGCGACUUACUGG